CCCUGCCCUGCCCUUCACAGCUGCAGAAGGACCCGGCCACAGCCUCCAUUGUUCCCCGUCGCUCUCAAAACUUUCCCGAAAGACCAGGCCAUCUGUCCACCUGCACACGUGUGAACUUAAGUCUUUCCUUUGUGAGGAGCCUCAGCUGAGGGAGGCAGGAAGCUGGUUUUUUCCAGGAGGCGGGCAGAGUUCACUGGCCUCCUAAGCUGCUCCAAGGUUGGAUCCCGGUUGGGGUCAGGCUGGGCACCCAGGCCGCUCACCACAGGCUCAGAGGUAUUUGGGGUGACUAUGCCAAAGCUUCUCUGAUGUCUGUCCUGAGGCCUGGGGAGGCGGGGGGCCCUGGGCGCAGGGACAGUGCCGGACACGCUGGUCUAGCCGCCAGGCUGGGGUCGGAGCGGCCUCCCACCCUCCUCCUCCAGGCGCAGAACCUGUUGGGGCAGGUAAGCGCAGGAGGUGGAGGCGGAGGAGUCUGAGGAGGCCGCCCGUGGGGAGAGGCCCUUGAGUGGCUGACCCGGAGAGGACACUCUGAGCGAUGGUGGCUGAUGGGCUCAGACCCGGGAAGGGUAGUCCUUCCUCUCUGGGGAGGUGGGCCCCCCGGGCCAAGCACGCCGGGUGUUGGAUUCAGAGCCAUCUUGGGCUGGCCAGGGCCGCUCGGGGUCCGGCAGGCACGAGCACUGGGCAGUGGGUGUCUUCUAGCCCACGGCGGGGGGGGGGGGGGGAGGGUGGGGAGUGCGCACGCAGCUCAGGGUCACCAACAGUAAGCGUUCCCGCCUUCCGCCUGGCGACAGGACCUUCUGGAAAGCUUGCAAAUCGGCCACGGAUGUGACAGUUCUUGAGGUACCUUAUUCCCCCAGAGCUGGGCGUGGGGAAGAAGCACUUGGGGGCCUGGGCUCAAGGGCACCCACAGCCCCGGUCAUGGGCUUCUGGAGUUUGCUCUUGAAGGGAAGGGCUUGGCUUUACCAGAGGCCACACUGGUGAUGGUCGGAGCUCGGCGCCAGGGCCAGCCUGGCCUGGAUUCAGACUCUUUCUCGCCCGCCUGUGUCUGAGGCGCCAACAAAGCCGGAAGCACCUUGGAGAAGGUGUAGGCCGGCCCCCUGCCUGACACCAUUACUCAGGGCAGGAAAGCGUUUCCAAAGGUUCUUUCCUAAAUGCAAAGUAGCAACGAUCACAGCACGCCAACACUCCGUUCUGGCAAAGUACGGCCCUCGCUACCUCGGCCGCGCACACCUAGCUCUGGACUUGCCGCGUGGCUCCCCGAGAGCAGCCUUUAUAGUCCAGAUCGCUGGCUUUUUUAGACGGUCUUCAAGUUUAGGAGGUGAUAACAUUGAUGUGACAUAAAGCUAACUUUCUCUGAGGCAUCAUAUAGGUUCCAUUGUUCUGGAUGAACAAAACUCGUAGGGCAGAGGAAAACGACGUUCUAAUGAAUCCAGUGGGGGCAUGUUAGGCCUUCUUAGGCCGAGCAUCUGGAAAAAUAGGGCGGUUUUGUUUUGCUUUUUUCUAGUAACCCAGAUGAGAUGCUUACGAGUCAGAGCGGCUGGCAGCAUGCCGAAUUAGCCGGAAUAAGUGCAGGUUUAUGAAAGUGCAAAGCAAAUGUAAAACGGGGACACAGUCUACCGUGAAUUUUCUGACAUUUUGGUAAUUUGCAAAUACCUCGUCCGCAAGACGGGUCGGUAAGAACGUCUUUGGUGAAUCUGAGAGGAGGUAAACCGCCCAGAAGUCACCCCCGCUCCCGGGGCAUCCGGUUUGUUCUCGGGUUCGGGCCAGCGUGGGCGCGGGGACAUGGCGGGGAAUGGCGGCCGGGAGGCCACUGGAGAGACGCCCUGCAUGUGGACAGGCCCGCUCGGCCGCCCCCACCCCGCCCCCACCCCGCGGCCUCUGGGCCCCGCUGGCCAGCGCGGUACACGGGGUUGGGUUUCAGCGCUUUGUUCUCCGUGCGGCCCUCAACGUUGAUUAAGGCCCGUCAGGCAGGUUAACCGGCAAGUUAGUUUUUCACGCUGGGAUCGCGUUCCCCGCCCACCCCACCCGUGCCUGUACAGGUGGGACCCGCCAAGGGCUGGGCAGGUGGGGCACUCGCUCUGCAAAGAGGAGCCUGGAGGGUGCUGCCCUGGGCCUCCCGACUCAUUCCUUGAUUUUCCCAAGCUAAGCCUGCUCAGAGUGGUGAUGAUUAACCAGACCCCACAACUGGGAACACAACGCUGGCUUCACUCCCUGCCAACAAGGGGCCGAGAAAGCACCAUUUAGUCGCUCUGAAACAGGGAAGGUUUAUUUCCACUUUUCGUAUCUGCCCGUAGGAACUGCCCCGGGGGGCAGGAUGGGCACAGGGUGGGCGCAGGAGAGUCGGGGAUCUUGACCUCACGCUGAGCUGCACUCAGAGGCCAAGGCCAGGUGCUGGUCUCUCCUUGUGGACUUACAGGUUCUGAGUUCAGGAAGAGUGUGGGAUUGUGUCCUGGAACUUAGGAGGGGGCGCUCUGCUGCCCACCGGCCUGCCCCGGCUCUGUCCACGUAUCUCUGUGUCCGUGCACCUCUUCACCUCUUAGGUGACAGUGUCAGGGCUGAUGAGCCGGUGGGUGGCAGACAGCUGGGGUGGCCCGUUCCCCUGGCUUGCCGCCAGGCCAGCUCUGGACCCGUGGGGUCUCCGGGGCCUCGGGUGCUCCUCGGCCAAGGACACUAGGGACACCGGGCUCUGGCUCCAGAGGCCACACAGUGGGAGGCCGGUCUGUGCACAGCGGGCUGGCUACAAGGGAGGGACACCGGGCCCCCAGCCCCCACCGCCUUCCCCUGUAGCCUGGCAGCUGAGAGCAGAGCUGAAAUUUAACUCAGCCCUGAAAGCACAGUUGAGACAGUUUCGCCUAGCUCAGAAAGAGGUAGAAUCGCAUCCCUAGAGCACACUGAUUUUACAGGGUCUGUGGGACAGACCUGGAAAGGUGAGGUGUGGAUCCGGAGCGGGGCAGGUGGUGACGGGGGCACAGGGCAAGAGGCUGACCGUGGGCUCCACCCUCUGAGCCUGGACACAGCCACCCGGAGGCUCCAGGCUCCUGUGAAGCCGCCUUCCCACGCAGAGGACAGGUUUCUCACCCGUCCCCCCAACGCUGGGCCUGUGUCACCGUCAGGUCCUCUGAGAAAUGCUGGCUGUUCCUGAGGACAAAUCUGGAGAACGAGGUGAACCUUGGCUAGGCAGGUGGACAGGCUUUGUUGUGGUCAGGCAGGUGGCCUGGGGAGAAUCAGCACGGGCCCCACACCCCGUCUCUACAGCCUCUGUGGGUGGAAGGUGCCGGAAAACUUGAGGAGCUGCUCUGGCCCGCUCGCCAGGUCCAGGUGUCAGCCGUCACAGAGAAGGGACAGGAGGUUGGAUGGGACCCCUCGGACUCCCCAAGGCAGGGGGCCAGGGUCCUCUCAGUUCCACGCAGGGCCCCAGGUGCAGACACAGAACUGUCCUCUUCCUCGACCCCACUCUGAACUCUGGAGACUGGACUGGCACGCACGGGCACGGGGUGGUGGUGGGGGUGCUCAUCCUGCGUUCUGUACUUGGGCGCAGGCUGGGCGGGGCUACCCCCUUGGUCCCUCCUCCAGGCCCAGCGCUGUCUCAGCCUCGGACCUCACGGCC
rnacentral:lncRNA from 1 species